GACGAACGCUGGCGGCGUGCUUAACACAUGCAAGUCGAGCGGUAAGGCCUUUCGGGGUACACGAGCGGCGAACGGGUGAGUAACACGUGGGUGAUCUGCCCUGCACUCUGGGAUAAGCCUGGGAAACUGGGUCUAAUACAGGAUAUGACCUCAGCAUGCAUGUGCUGGGGUGGAAAGCUUUUGUGGUGCAGGAUGGGCCCGCGGCCUAUCAGCUUGUUGGUGGGGUAAUGGCCUACCAAGGCGACGACGGGUAGCCGACCUGAGAGGGUGACCGGCCACACUGGGACUGAGACACGGCCCAGACUCCUACGGGAGGCAGCAGUGGGGAAUAUUGCACAAUGGGCGGAAGCCUGAUGCAGCGACGCCGCGUGAGGGAUGAAGGCCUUCGGGUUGUAAACCUCUUUCAGCAGGGACGAAGCGUGAGUGACGGUACCUGCAGAAGAAGCACCGGCUAACUACGUGCCAGCAGCCGCCGCCGUAA
rnacentral:rRNA from 1 species